UACCCAAUGUCAAUGUUAUCUGUAAUCAGUUUGUUUGAUGACACUGAUGAAGUCCACUUGCUGAAACGUGUUGGUCUGACAAUAAAGUUGUUCAGCAUAAUAUAAGUUUGGCGGAGUAUUACCAAAUGAGUGUGUGGAGACAUGAAUGAAGGACAACAUGAGGCAAGAACUUUUACUAGCUGCACUGGAAAACAUAUUCAGACAAGCUACACAAAGUCAGUCAUGCUCACCUGUCCAGCAGGCUUCCUGCUGCUCUGCACACCUGUUCCCAAUCAUCUCAUCAGCCUGUGACCUGUUCCCGUGCCGGCCUCCCCAGCUGCACCUCAUCAGCUAACGAGUCUCCCAGCACUCAGCUGCUCCUUCAGCAACACACAGAAACUGUUCCAGCUGACAGCGUGGAGGGAGCUGUGGACCUGGUGAACUGUGACAGAGAACUGAACUGACCCUCGUCUUUCAGAAACACAACAGCUCCAUUAUGCUAAAGCUACAUCAGGUUGUUGUUGUCGUCCACACCUCCCUUCUUUACUUAUCCUCAUGUUCAAGUGUAGGAA
rnacentral:lncRNA from 1 species